CCUGCCUCAGCCUCCCGAGUAGCUGGGACUACAGGCGCCCGCGACUACGCCCGGCUAAUUUUUUGUAUUUUUAGUAGAGACGGGGUUUCACCGUGUUAGCCAGGAUGGUCUUCGUCUCCUGACCUCGUGAUCCGCCCGCCUCGGUCCCCUAAAGUGCUGGGAUUACAGGCAUACACUCUUAAGUAACCUGGUGGGGACCCAUCAAACUACAAAGGGUUAUAGCUACUCUUACAGAAGACAUAAGAAGAUAUAUACGCAGAGAAGACAUCAUAAGACCUGAAGAUGAAAAACUUCUGAUCACAGAAGAAAGAUAUACAACAGCCUUGAAGCAUUCUGAGAACCCAGUGAAGGCAAUAAUGUCUCUUCCCAGAGAAAUUCACAGGAAGGAGCAAGACACAGAAGACAUGGAGAUCCAUGUAGAAUCAUAAGAAGGUAAAGAAGAAGGAAAAAAUGUAGCCCCUAGAAGCUUGGAACUGCCCUCAGACUACAGCCAGGAAGCAGACAGGGACUUCAGUUCCACAGCCACAAGGAGCUGAAUUCUGCCAACCAGAAUGAGCAAGAACAUGGAUUCUCCCCUCAAGCCUCCAGAAAAGAAUGCAGCCUACAGUCAGCACUUUAAGUCCCAUGCAACCUAUAAUAGAUUUCUGACCUACAGAGCUUUAAUGUCAUAAAUUGGUGUUGUUUUAAGUCAUGAAGUUUGUGGUAGCUUCUUAUGACAGUAAUUGAAAACUAAUACCUGGUCUUUUUAGCAGAAUAACGAGCACCCUGUAAUGUGUCAUUCAUGCAUAUCUUUUUUUUUUUUUUUUUUUUGGUGGGGGCAGGAAGACAAAACUCUAGAGUUUAAUCUUCCAGCUGACUGACUUGGAAGUGUUCCUGUCAAUAUAAAAGAUCUUGUUGGGGG
rnacentral:lncRNA from 1 species